GACGAACGCUGGCGGCGUGCUUAACACAUGCAAGUCGAACGGAAAGGCCCCUUCGGGGGUACUCGAGUGGCGAACAGGUGAGUAACACGUGAGUAACCUGCCCUUGACUUCGGGAUAACUUCAGGAAACUGGGGCUAAUACCGGAUAGGAAUCCUUGCUGCAUGGUGGGGGUUGGAAAGCUUCGGCGGUUUUGGAUGGACUCGCGGCUUAUCAGCUUGUUGGUGGGGUAGUGGCUUACCAAGGCUUUGACGGGUAGCCGGCCUGAGAGGGCGACCGGCCACAUUGGGACUGAGAUACGGCCCAGACUCCUACGGGAGGCAGCAGUGGGGAAGAUUGCACAAUGGGCGGAAGCCUGAUGCAGCAACGCCGCGUGCGGGAUGACGGCCUUCGGGUUGUAAACCGCUUUCAGCAGGGGCGAAGCUUGUGGUGACGGUACCUGCAGAAGAAGCACCGGCUAACUACGUG
rnacentral:rRNA from 1 species